rnacentral:rRNA from 1 species
UACGUAGGGGCAAGCGUUGUCCGGAUUUAUUGGGCGUAAAGAGCGUGUAGGCGGCCAGAUAGGUCUGUUGUGAAAACUCGAGGCUCAACCUCGAGACGCCGAUGGAAACCAUUUGGCUAGAGUCCGGAAGAGGAGAGUGGAAUUCCUGGUGUAGCGGUGAAAUGCGCAGAUAUCAGGAAGAACACCAAUGGCGAAAGCAGCUCUCUGGGACGGUACUGACGCUGAGACGCGAAAGCGUGGGAGCGAACAGG